GUGAGUGACAGAGCUGGGAUACAAAUGCAGGAAUUCAAGUCCAACUGGGAUUCAAAUCCAACUCUAAGUUCCAUGCUCGUUUUCUUCUGUGUGCGUCCUGACUCAUCCUGCUGGAAGAUGUGCUGAGAAUCACGGCAGCUCUAACCACCUCCCUGCCCAGUAUCUGGUAUGUCUUUAUUAGCAGCAUGAAAGUGGACUAAUCCACCCAUUUUGCAGAUUCAGAGACUGAAGAUCGGUGAUACAGAGCAUCUUGUCCAAGUGCACGUGGCAGUAGAGCUGGAACUUGAAUCUGGAAUUAUCUGGCUAGUGAUCUAGCUCUUCUUCCAUGCUGUCUCCACACAUCUUCAAAGUCGUCCCACCUCACAUUCUCAGCAGGGUGAGGAAUCCACCCAGGAUCACCACCCACUGGGGUUCAAAUCCCAGCUCAGCUACUUCCCAGCUCUUUGGCCUUGGGCAAGUCACUUCACUUCGCUGAGCCUUAUUUUCCUCACCUGCUGUGUGUUGGAGGGCAAGUUAAUAAAUCCCUCUGAGCCUCAGUUUCCCCAUCUAUACAAUGGGGGAUGGCAAUAGGACCUCCUUCCUCUAAUUUCGACUGCAGCUGGGGCGGACAUUUAGGGUUUUUCCAAGGCAGCUGGAAAGUCCGGAGAGUUGACUGUCUUGGGGUCAACUUUCAGCCAACAAAGGUGUUGGGAGGUUGUUGGGGAACCAGUGGACAAAUGUCUCUCUCUGUCAGCCGUCCUUUAGAGACCGUGGAGACCAAGGGAAGAUUUCCCCUUCCCGCCUUGAAGGUUCCCUUUUUCCCAGGCCUGGGGCCCUGGAGUCACCAGGGUUUGAGUCCUGACUUUGCCCAUUUUCCAGCCGUGGAGCUUGUAGAAGGCACUUCUCUUCCUAAAGCUUCCGUUUCCUCCACUGCAGCAUGGGGAGGGAGGCUUGUCCUAAAUUUGUUGGCCUGUGGUGGAGACAAUUUGAAGCCACACUCACGGAGCAGGUCACACUGGAAGCGUAUGUGUGUUCAGUGUGUUCCCUGGAAGCGUAUGUGUGUUCAGUCCAUGAAACUCUGAUCAACAGUUAAUCAUAUCCCCAGAGUCCUGGGGACACUGCCAAGUAUUUCUUUGCUUUUCCCAACACGUUCUCAGCCCCUGCAGUGUGCAUCGUGGGCAAGUGUGCUGGGCAGUCCUGUGUGCUUGCCCCUCUCCUGCAAACUGCU
rnacentral:lncRNA from 10 species